rnacentral:rRNA from 1 species
UAGUCCACGCCCUAAACGAUGAACACUAGUCGUCGCGAUGCUUGUCAUUGCGGUGAUGCAGUUAACACGUUAAGUGUUCCGCCUGGGGAGUACGGUCGCAAGAUUAAAACUCAAAGGAAUAGACGGGGACCCGCACAAGUGGUGGAGCAUGUGGUUUAAUUCGAAGAUACGCGAAGAACCUUACCUAGCCUUGACAUACCGAGAAUCUUCCAGAGAUGGAGGAGUGCCUGCUUGCAGGAAUUCGGAUACAGGUGCUGCACGGCUGUCGUCAGCUCGUGUCGUGAGAUGUUGGGUUAAGUCCCGCAACGAGCGCAACCCUCGUCGUUAGUUGCUAACAGUUCGGCUGAGCACUCUAGCGAGACUGCCUUCGUAAGGAGGAGGAAGGUGAGGACGACGUCAAGUCAUCAUGGCCCUUAUGGCUAGGGCUACACACGUGCUACAAUGGGGGUNUACAGAGAGUCGCAAUACCGCGAGGUGGAGCCAAUCUA